ensembl:snoRNA small nucleolar RNA, C/D box 50B
AAUAAAUGAUGAAACCUAUCCCGAAACUGAAUACCUGAAGAAAAACCUGUACGGAUUCGGCUUCUGAAAU